GCCCCCGUUGUCUAAUGGUUAUGACGUCAGACUUCUACGUUGAUUACGUAAUCGGAUCUGGAGGUUGCGGGUUCGAGUCCCGCCGGGGGUU